AUUAAGAAUGACCAAGCAAAGACCAAAUGGGACUUCCAAAUCCAGAAGUCCAGAAGAGCUGGAGGAAAUGUGGGAACUGAAGGCGGCCAUGGUACCAGUGGAGACCGGUGAACUACCAUCCUACCAUCAGCUAAGAAACCGUGCAGAUCCUUAGAGGCCUCUGGUUGAAGACUCGUGCCUUAAGGAGAUGUAAGAGCGCCCCAAGAACACGCGAGUGGAAGGAAAAUGUUAGUUAAGAGUUAUCUUUUGUCGAGUUUCAACCUAAUGUCUAAACAAGCCGCCAUGAGUCACAGAGAAGAGGACACUGCUGCUCAUUACCUCACCGCACACACAGCACUCAUCAUUUCCCUCAAUCGCAAGCGUUUGAUUUAAUAAUCUCGGGACAUUUGAGGAACACGACGUAGCAGAUUUCAUUCCUUUUUGUACGCCAUAAUGUUAUUUAUCAAGAUGUAAUAGUGAAACACAGAUGUCAGCAACAUAUGAGCUGAAACGCUUAAUCUAUCCUCCCAGAAUAAGACGAUCCCGAGCGAGUUAGCCGUCAUAGUCGUUCUUUUUGCAGACGCUGGAUUCCCCUGACAUAAUUCAAUUGAGCGGUGGUGGAAACAACAUAAACGUGAGGUUUUUCCCUGUUUGAAUAGACCAUUAAGAUCUCAUGAGAAGUCCAUUCAGAGAGAUAAUAUGUAGGAAAAGAAAUAAAAGAGACAAUAAGGAGUUGAUGAUGAAAUUAAACUAAUGUGAAACAGCCAAAAAGCCGAGUCUGCUUACCCCUCAAUCGACGCCAUUUAAUCUGAGGGUAACUCCCCUGCAGUGACGCAUUUUGGGUACAGUCUGUUACCUUCCUGCUUGUCAUGUUUAUAUAUAGAUUAAAAAUUAAAGAGCAAUCAUCCCGCUGAUCUGUCCUUAUUCAGAUGUUUGUGUCAUUUUUGCGGCUAAAUGCUAAAAUUUAACCGACCCGUUCGCCAUCUCGCUUUGCGGUGAGCUGUAAACUGUGAGCUGUGGUAUAUCUGAAGAAAAAUAAAAAAAAGGUGUUGUUUGGACCUUGUGUUAAAAAUACUCCUCUGCCCUCCCUCAGCUGCAGUCAGAUGGAUCUUUGGAGAGAGGAGACGCAGGAGGAAGACAGAGGACCUGAAAUAGCCUCCUGAAAUAGCUGGAAGCAUCCAGG